GAAUACAGCGGCAUAGUGGUGAGACCCCCGUAUAUGGUGCGGACGCCCAGCGCUUUGUGAUACAUUUUCGAAGAGUCGAGUUGUUUGGGAAUGCAGCUCAAAUUGGGUGGUAAAUUCCAUCUAAAGCUAAAUAUUGGCGAGAGACCGAUAGCGAACAAGUACCGUGAGGGAAAGAUGAAAAGCACUUUGGAAAGAGAGUUAACAGUACGUGAAAUUGUUGGAAGGGAAACGCUUGAAGUCAGACUUGCUUGCCGAGCAAUCGGUUUGCAGGCCAGCAUCAGUUUUCCGGGAUGGAUAAUGGUAGAGAGAAGGUAGCAGUUUCGGCUGUGUUAUAGCUCUCUGCUGGAUACAUCUUGGGGGACUGAGGAACGCAGUGUGCCUUUUGGCGGGGGUUUCGACCUCUUCACACUUAGGAUGCUGGUGGAAUGGCUUUAAACGACCCGUCUUGAA
rnacentral:rRNA from 2 species